rnacentral:ncRNA from 1 species
UACCUGGUUGAUCCUGCCAGUAGUCAUAUGCUUGUCUCAAAGAUUAAGCAAUGCAUGUGCAAGUAUGAACCAAUUUGA